CCUACGGGAGGCAGCAGUGGGGAAUAUUGCACAAUGGGGGAAAGCCUGAUGCAGCGACGCCGCGUGAGGGAAGAAGGAUCUCGGUACGUAAAGCUCUAUCAGCAGGGAAGAAAAUGACGUUUCCUGACUAACAAUCCGCGGCUAACUCCGUGCCAGCAGCCGCGGUAUUACGUAGUGGGCAAGCGUUAGCCGGAUUUACUGGGGGGAAAGGGAGCGUAGACGGUAGCGCAAGACGGGAGUGAAAUCCCGGGGCUCAACCUCGGAACUGCUUUGGAAACUGGGCGACUGGAGUGCAGGAGGGGUAAGCGGAAGUCCUAGUGUAGCAGUGAAAUGCGUAGAUAUGAGGAGGAACACCAGUGGCGAAGGCGACUUACUGGAAUGUAACUGACGCUGAGGCGCGAAAGCGUGGGUAGCAAACAGGAUUAGAUACCCGUGUAGUC
rnacentral:rRNA from 1 species